ACCUGAAAUCAAGCAAGAUCACCCGCUGAACUUAAGCAUAUCAGUAAGCGGAGGAAAAGAAACUAACAAGGAUUGCCUUAGUAGUGGCGAAUGAACCGGCAAUAGCUCAAAGUGUAAAUCUGAGGCAUCAAGUCUUAGAAUUGUAAUCUAUAGGCCUUUUAGGGAAGCCAUGGUUCUAGCAUAAGUUCCCUGAAAAGGGAUGCCAAAGAGGGUAAAAGCCCCGUAUUUGGUUAGGACUGGGUGUACCGAAGGGUUCCAAGAGUCGGGUUGUUUGGGAUUGCAGCCUAAAAUGGGAGAUAAACUUCUUCUAAAGCUAAAUAUUUAUGGGAAACCGAUAGCAAACAAGUACUACGAAGGAAAGAUGAAAAGAACUUUGAAAAGAGGGUUAAAAGACUUGAAAUCGUUGAGGAGAAAAGCGGUAGAAGAGAAAUGAUUUCAUUUAGAAGUAUGUAGUUUUGUAGGCGUCUUCUGUGGUAAUGGUACUUCAUAGGGCCUAGCUAUAGACCGGCGUCGCAUUGCUGCUUUUUCUGGGUGAAGUGCAAAAUGAGGUCUCGCUUGCGGAAACGUCUCUAGGGAAGACUCUGGCCUCGACGCUAGAAGCCCUGGUCUCCAA
rnacentral:rRNA from 1 species